rnacentral:rRNA from 2 species
UGUCUCCUAAUUAGAGACUAGUAUGAACGGCUAAAUGAGGGCCUAACUGUCUCCCGUAAAUAAUCAAUGAAACUGAUCUUCCAGUACAAAAGCUGAAAUACACCCAUAAGACGAGAAGACCCUAUGGAGCUUUAAACUUACUUGCUAAACAAAAAACUACUAGUCAACUUUGCCUACUUAAACUAUAAAUAUAGCAACAAAACUUCAGUUGGGGCAACUUUGGAAAAAAAAAGAACUUCCAAGCAAUAGAACCACACGUUCAACUAAGACCUACACGUCUACGUAAUAAUUUAUUGACCCAGUCAUACUGAUCAACGAACUAAGUUACCCUAGGGAUAACAGCGCAAUCCUCUUUAAGAGUCCCUAUCGCCAAGAGGGUUUACGACCUCGAUGUUGGAUCAGGACACCCAAGUGGUGCAGCCGCUACUAAAGGUUCGUUUGUUCAACGAUUAACAGU